GUGGCAGGUCGCGAGCUUCUGAGGCUUCACCGGAGCUACGGGAGCAGAGGCAAGGUCGGCCACUAGGACCGGGGCUCCCGAGGGAGGAAAACUUACACGGGCCUGAAAGCGGGCGGCGAAAUUCCUUACUCGGGAAGACUGACUGCAGCCACCACGUCUUCGCGUUUGCAUGCCAGGGAUACCAAGAAGAGUGACAGCAUCUGUGCUCAAGUGUAUAAAAGCACCCAGCACAAGCCAAAUCCAAGGGCUGGUCUGGCACUCACAGGAGGUUACCAGACCUGACCUCUUGUUCACAAAGUGGUAAGUGACCUUAACAGCACCUAUCCUGGAGAUGUUGGUGCUGGCAAAGACCUCACUGACCACCAGGGCCAAUUGGUCUGGAUCACUGCUUAUGGCCUUGAGGACCGUGUAGGGGGGCAUGCCAAGAGGAACUGUUCUGUUCUCAAGCAGAGUUGAGAGCUGAAGGUCUGUAAAGAUGCCCAAGAUGAUGAUGGUGUCCCCAGUGCCCGGAACGUGGAUGGUGCUAUAUCUGGAGAGGGACAGAAGUGAAACCCUCAUCAUGAAACCAUAGAGGGAGAGACACUCACCCACACCUUCUGCCUCCCGAAGGUCACUGAGCACUGGUAACCAUAGAGAAUAAAGAGCGGGCGGAACAAA